UUCCCUGUGCACGGGCUCUUUGUAAAUGGAAAGAGGAAUGUGCAAAAGAAAACGUUGCCUUCAUCCCUGGGAACCAGCUGUGCCCAAGGCUCCCAGACAGUGAGAGGCGAGUCUUUAAAUCUACUGCUUCACUUGGAGUCAGAGCCAUGUUUACUACUCUGGGAAAUAUGAGCCCUGUCUGCUUCCUGUUCUCCUUGAAGACCAACCAAUACAUAGUGAUGGAGUCUGCAAACGGAGUGACCUCGUCUACCACAUCCAACAAGUGGGCGGUUGGAGAAGACUCGUGCUGGUUUUCACACGACCAGAGCAGCCGCUUUCUGAUGCUUUCAGCCAUGAGCUCUAAUGAAAACAACCAGGAAUGCCUUCUACUGGAUUA
rnacentral:lncRNA from 1 species